rnacentral:tRNA from 8 species
AAAAUCCGUUGACUUUUAAA